AGCAGCCGCGGUAAUUCCAGCUCCAAUAGCGUAUAUUAAAGUUGUUGCAGUUAAAAAGCUCGUAGUUGAAUUUCGGGAUUAGUAGGUUGGUCGUGCCUCUGGUAUGUACUCGCCUUACUGAUUCCUCCUUCUUGAAGAACUGUAAUGCCAUUAACUUGGUGUUGCAGGGAAACAGGACUGUUACUUUGAAAAAAUUAGAGUGUUUAAAGCAGGCCAUUGCCUGAAUACAUUAGCAUGGAAUAAUGAAAUAGGACGUUGAUCCUAUUUUGUUGGUUUCUAGGAUUGACGUAAUGAUUAAUAGGGAUAGUUGGGGGCAUUAGUAUUCAAUUGUCAGAGGUGAAAUUCUUGGAUUUAUUGAAGACUAACUACUGCGAAAGCAUUUGCCAAGGAUGUUUUCAUUAAUCAAGAACGAAAGUUAGGGGAUCGAAGACGAUCAGAUACCGUCGUAGUCUUAACCAUAAACUAUGCCGACUAGGGAUCGGAUGAUGUUAAUUUUUAAUGACUCAUUCGGCGCCUUAAC
rnacentral:rRNA from 1 species